rnacentral:rRNA from 1 species
CUAACACAUGCAAGUCGAGGGGUAUAAGUCUUCGGAUUUAGAGACCGGCGCACGGGUGCGUAACGCGUAUGCAAUCUACCUUAUACUAAGGGAUAGCCCAGAGAAAUUUGGAUUAAUACCUUAUAGUAUAUGAUUGGGACAUCCCCAGACAUAUUAAAGAUUUAUCGGUAUAAGAUGAGCAUGCGUCCCAUUAGCUAGUUGGUGUGGUAACGGCAUACCAAGGCUAUGAUGGGUAGGGGUCCUGAGAGGGAGAUCCCCCACACUGGUACUGAGACACGGACCAGACUCCUACGGGAGGCAGCAGUGAGGAAUAUUGGUCAAUGGGCGCAAGCCUGAACCAGCCAUGCCGCGUGCAGGAUGACGCAUCUAUGGUGUGUAAACUGCUUUUGUACAGGAAGAAACCCUGCCACGUGUGGCAGAUUGACGGUACUGUAAGAAUAAGGAUCGGCUAACUCCGUGCCAGCAGCCGCGGUAAUACGGAGGAUCCAAGCGUUAUCCGGAAUCAUUGGGUUUAAAGGGGUCCGUAGGCGGUUUUAUAAGUCAGUGGUGAAAUCCGGCAGCUCAACUGUCGAACUGCCAUUGAUACUGUAGAACUUGAAUUAUUGUGAAGUAACUAGAAUAUGUAGUGUAGCGGUGAAAUGCUUAGAUAUUACAUGGAAUACCCAUUGCGAAGGCAGGUUACUAACAAUAUAUGACGCUGAUGGACGAAAGCGUGGGGAGCGAAC